GUUGAGAGGGGACUGCCGGUCGUCUGCCUCUUCUCCUCGUGGUCUUUCCCUUUGCAGCCUUCCUUCCCCCAAACCCACUGGACAUGGCCUUGGAACCCACAUAGCUUCCAGUUCCAGGCCGCAAGACUCCCCACUGCUCACACCCACCUUCUCCACCCAGCACCAAACAGCUGAAAAGCUGCUCAGACCUCGAAACCUACUCUAACAUAGAAGAUGUCUAGAAGCCAGUUGGGGUCAAGAAACAGGCCUCUACCUACAUUUAUGUGGGUAAAUGAAGUCACAGCACAAAUCACCUACCCCACAUGGAAGGCAGAUCCUCCUGCGCCACCUGCUUCUCUGCUGAGCCUGAGAUGUGGACCCCUAUCUGGAUGUGGGGCUAGGGAGGUGGCUCCUCCCUGUCUCACAGGCCCACCUCUUGUCCCCGCACAGACAUUGAGUCCCGCGGCGCCCCCUGCUGCUGCCUCCCCGAGAAAUAGUGCUCCAAGGAGCCCUGGCGCUGGCCAGGUGCCUGCUGCUCUCAAGAGCCCUCCGUCUCUGCCAGACACGGGCACCCCACUCUCUCCAUUUCCAGGCCUUCCCCCACCAUGUAGGCCGUUGGCACCACCCCCUCAGCCACUAAGCUCUCCAUUUCCCUCCCCCCAAGGCACACUCCCGGCCCGAGGGCUUUCCUACUUUUAUGAUUUGUCCACAAAGGUGACAUCCUUCAGCCCCCAGAAAGUCGUCUUCCAGGCUGUUUACAGGACCCUACAUAGGGUCUUCAGAGGCUUUCAGCCUAACACAAAUCAUGACCUGGUUUGACCUUUAAAAUGUCUCAAAAUCUAAUAUUG